GAACAUGUAUUAACAAAAAUACCUACACAGUAAUUGUACAUUGUGCUAUUAGGUUCACUAAUAAACAUAGCAGGUGUGAGGAACACCUCAUUGGUCUGUAUGAGUCAUGUGACCAAGACAAACUUCCUCCUGACCAACGUCCUCUCCAACGUCACUCCACAGUCUGUAGCGUUUGACAGAGAAAACGGUCUUCGUUUGUUUUUAGGAUUUUCUGGGAGAAGUCCUGACUUUUCUCCCCACAGCUCCGGGACAACUCGAGGUUGCAGGUGAGGAUGAGGUGACGAGAGAAAGAGUUGGCGAAGGCGGUGUAAAACUCCAGCACCCUCAGUAGAGCCUCCUUCCUGAUGACGUGGAGGUCACAGUAGGUCAGGGCUCGGACGUUCGCGCAGGCACGGGCCUGAGUGGUUUCUUUCCAGAAGGCAUCACCGAACACGUCGCCCUUUCCUGACGAGAGGAUGUACUUACUCAAGUUAAAGAUUCUUCCCUCUGUCGUGUGGUUUUAAAGGUGCUGCUCCUGUGCAUGACCUCCGCUCUGUGGUAACCGGACAGUUUACAGAAUCCAUCGUUGCUGUACACCACUGGCCACUCCACGAUCUGGGCAUUUCCCAGCAGGAAACUGGUUUCUGCAGCAAAACGAUCAUUUUGUUCUGCAUUUUUUUAUCAUAGAAAUCUCCAGGUAGAAAACAUUUCCUGGGCCACACUGGUGAGGAUUCUUUCUGCUGCUUCCCAUCCGAAGACAAUUGUGGUGAAUCUGCCAAAGUUUUUUUUUUUUUUUUUUCGUUUUUACUUUUGCCUCUUUUGCUGAGUAAAACAUUUCACAGAAGAACAAUACACCACUUAUUAAGACAAAAGCCAAAUGUCACAAAGUGCAGCUGAGUCACCGUAAGUAAAUCCCACACUCCAUAUAUCCCCACAAAAGAGCUUGGUCUUCCUUUUUUGUGUGUCUUCUAAACUACUGAACAGUACUUCUUUUAAGGGGAUAAAUUAUUUACACCUGUCUGUGAAAUGUACAUGUUUUUUAUGAAAUCUAUACAGAUUUAUCUUUUUGACAUUUGUAUUUUGUAAACCAGGGAAGGAUGAA